GGGUGUGAUCAUACCAGCAUUAAUGCACUGGAUCCCAUCAGAACUCCGCAGUUAAGCGCGCUUGGGCCAGAGUAGUACUGGGAUGGGUGACCUCCCGGGAAGUCCUGGUGUUGCACCCU
rnacentral:rRNA from 1 species